UUGGAGAGUUUGAUCCUGGCUCAGGACGAACGCUGGCGGCGUGCUUAACACAUGCAAGUCGAACGAUGAUGCUCCAGCUUUGUUGGGGUGGAUUAGUGGCGAACGGGUGAGUAACACGUGAGUAACCUGCCCUCUUCUUUGGGAUAACGGUCGGAAACGGCUGCUAAUACUGGAUAUUCACUCAUUGGCGCAUGUUGGUGGGUGGAAAGGUUUUUUCUGGUGGGGGAUGGGCUCGCGGCCUAUCAGCUUGUUGGUGGGGUGAUGGCCUACCAAGGCUUUGACGGGUAACCGGCCUGAGAGGGUGACCGGUCACAUUGGGACUGAGAUACGGCCCAGACUCCUACGGGAGGCAGCAGUGGGGAAUUUUGCACAAUGGGCGCAAGCCUGAUGCAGCGACGCCGCGUGAGGGAUGAAGGCCUUCGGGUUGUAAACCUUUUUCGCUCAUGGUCAAGCCGCAGCUUUGGGUUGUGGUGAGGGUAGUGGGUAAAGAAGCGCCGGCUAACUACGUGCCAGCAGCCG
rnacentral:rRNA from 1 species